rnacentral:lncRNA from 1 species
AGCGGUCCAAUUAAAUCAUACCCAGAUCCAAAAUUUAACCCACUUGGAAUCGGGUCCGGGUUGAUCUCUGGAUUCAUUCAUAUUAUAUAAGUUAAUACAAUCUGGGCGUAUUAAAUAGCAUAGAAUAUCAUUAGUAAUAAAAAAAAUUCAAAAUAUACGAUAUCUUGGACCGCAGGGCAGGCUGCCUAAAUUGAAAUUGAC